GACGUAGGGCGCGAGGCGUUGUCCGGAUUUAUUGGGCGUAAAGAGCUCGUAGGCGGCUUGUCGCGUCGACUGUGAAAUCCCGCGGGCUCCAACUGCGGGUCUGCAGUCGAUACGGGCAGGCUAGAGUUCGGUAGGGGAGACUGGAAUUCCUGGUGUAGCGGUGAAAUGCGCAGAUAUCAGGAGGAACACCGAUGGCGAAGGCAGGUCUCUGGGCCGAUACUGACGCUGAGGAGCGAAAGCGUGGGGAGCGAACAGG
rnacentral:rRNA from 1 species